UACGUAGGGUGCGAGCGUUGUCCGGAAUUAUUGGGCGUAAAGAGCUCGUAGGCGGUCUGUCGCGUCGGAUCGUGAAAACUUGGGGCUUAACCCUGAGCUUGCGGUCGAUACGGGCAUGACUGGAGUUCGGCAGGGGAGACUGGAAUUCCUGGUGUAGCGGUGAAAUGCGCAGAUAUCAGGAGGAACACCGGUGGCGAAGGCGGGUCUCUGGGCCGAUACUGACGCUGAGGUGCGAAAGCGUGGGGAGCAAACAGG
rnacentral:rRNA from 1 species